UACGUAGGGUGCGAGCGUUGUCCGGAAUUAUUGGGCGUAAAGAGCUUGUAGGCGGUUUGUCGCGUCUGCUGUGAAAGACCGGGGCUCAACUCCGGUUCUGCAGUGGGUACGGGCAGACUAGAGUAUGGUAGGGGAGGCUGGAAUUCCUGGUGUAGCGGUGAAAUGCGCAGAUAUCAGGAGGAACACCGAUGGCGAAGGCAGGUCUCUGGGCCAUUACUGACGCUGAGAAGCGAAAGCAUGGGGAGCGAACAGG
rnacentral:rRNA from 1 species